rnacentral:snRNA from 1 species
AUCGCUUCUCAGCCUUUUGGCUAAGAUCAAGUAUAGUAUCUGUUCUUAUCAGUAUCAUGUGAUCUGCAAAUAGUGAAACUUUGACUUCUUCCUUGCUGAUUUCAAUGUCUUUUAUUUCUUUUGGUUGUCUGAUUACUAUGGCUACGACUCCCAAGACUAUGUUGGAUAACUGUAUUGCCUUGUCUUUUUCCUGUACCUAAG